rnacentral:rRNA from 1 species
ACAGCAGCAGCCACGGGAAUACGGAGGGUGCAAGCGUUAAUCGGAAUUACUGGGCGUAAAGCGCACGCAGGCGGUCUGUCAAGUCGGAUGUGAAAUCCCCGGGCUCAACCUGGGAACUGCAUUCGAAACUGGCAGGCUAGAGUCUUGUAGAGGGGGGUAGAAUUCCAGGUGUAGCGGUGAAAUGCGUAGAGAUCUGGAGGAAUACCGGUGGCGAAGGCGGCCCCCUGGACAAAGACUGACGCUCAGGUGCGAAAGCGUGGGGAGCAAACAGGAUUAGAUACCCGUGUAGUCCCUGUCUCUUAUAC